UACAGAGGUGGCAAGCGUUGUUCGGAAUUACUGGGCGUAAAGGGCGAGUAGGCGGCCUUCUAAGUCAGACGUGAAAUCCCCCGGCUUAACCUGGGAACUGCGUCUGAUACAGGGAGGCUUGAGUAUGGGAGAGGGAUGUAGAAUUCCAGGUGUAGCGGUGAAAUGCGUAGAUAUCUGGAGGAAUACCGGUGGCGAAGGCGGCAUCCUGGACCAUUACUGACGCUGAAUCGCGAAAGCUAGGGGAGCAAACGGG
rnacentral:rRNA from 1 species